AAAGAGUGUCAAGUGUACUUAAAAUCACCAAAAUUAAGAUCAGAAAACUUCCAAGUCUGAAGACUUAAACAAGGGAUGAGCUUCAAACUAUCUCUGUAUAACAAUCUUCAUCAAUGUUUAAUUCUUCUAGUAAAGAUUUACGUAUUAGCUGGUCUAACCCAAUACAUGAUGAACACGGAACGGAAAAUGUAGACUUCAUCACAACUACCAACUUCUUACAAAAUUUGGAUCGACCAAUCAUCUGCAAUACGCACAUUAGGCUUGCGAAUGGUUGGAACAGAUCCUCGAUUUCCUUGAAUGAAGAGUGGCCCAAGCUCAAUUUCCACUUUCUUAUUUCCUGGUUCAAUAAUGGCUGCUUUAGCUCCAGGGGACAAUCCUAACAAGAUUAUCCUCUCUACAGUGCACUCGGAAGAAAAUGUGUCACUGCCAGCUGUAGACGGGGCUGCAUUUGAAGAUAUAAGCUUCCCAUUUGAGAAUGUGAAACGCCGAUGAAUGAAGGUACCUUGUUUGAACUCAUAGCUCUUCCCAUCAUCUAUAUAAAGCUCACCUUCAGCUGCCUUGGAACUAUUAAGAGCUAUAACCAGAGUAUAAGGAUCGUUUUCCAUCUGUGUUGAGCUACGACGUAAACGAUCUUUCCUAGGUAUGAUAGUUCCAGCCCUUUGAAAAGAAGGAAUACUAUCUUGCGAGACCUCAUAUUUGUGUGUAUGACCUGCUUUGUAUACAGAUGCACUUCUUAAAUCAUACCAGGAUUCCUCUCCUGGUAGAUAGACAGAAACAUAUUUUGCUUUCUCUGUAUAAACUCCUUGCACCAGAAGACCAUUCCCAACCAUGAAAGCCUCAUCAUUGCUAAAGGAUUUUUCGUCUCCAGGGAACUCCAUCCAAAGAGGACGAGCAACUGGAGUACCACUUGAAUUUGCUUCUCUAAAUAGAGUGUAGAAAUAAGGAAGAUACAUGUAACGAACAUGUAUCGCUUCCCUCAUCAAUUGUGUAUUUCUUUCUCCAAAUAACCAAGGUUCCCGUCUUUUAGUGUCAUGAUGUGCAUGGCCCCGGAAAAAGGGAUAAUAUGCACCUAAUUGAUACCAGCGAACCAACAAUUCAGCGUCAGGAUUACCAAAAAAUCCACCAACAUCUGCACCAGAAAAUACUAUUCCAGAGAUGCUAAGAGUUAACACCAUGGGGACUGAAACCCUUAAGUGCUCCCAUUCUGCUGUAUUAUCUCCAGUCCAAAUUGCUCCAUAUCUUUGACUUCCGGCAAAGAAAGCCCUUGCCAAAACAAAAGGCCUAUCUUUUCCAUCUCCACGCUUUAGAAGCCCGUCGGAUGUUGCCAUAUGGAAAUAGUAACCAUAUGAAUUGUGCAACUCCCUGUGCUCUACUCCUCCAUGAUGUAAAGCAUCUCUUGGCAUUGUUACCUCUGGUCCAUUGAAGACGGAAGGUUCAUUCAUGUCAUUCCAGAUGUAUAAAUACUUUGUCGAGCCAACAUAGCUAUCAAGUGAAAAUUUGUCACUCCACCAUGACCUAAUCUCGGGAUUCAGCAGGUCAGUAUAUGAUGAGGAACCAGGCCAGCACCAUCCAUCAUAAUCCUUACCAGUAGCAUCCUUAACAUAGUAUCCCUUUGCUGAGGCCUCCUUGUGUAUAUGGUAAGACUCAUCUCUCUUGAUAUGAGGAUCCACAAUGGUAACCAUGUGUCUACCCUUUGCAGCUAACUUCUUCUGCAUUUCCUCUGGGUUAGGAAACAACACUCUGUCCCAAGUAAAGUACUUCUUCCCAUCUGUGUGCUCAAUAUCAAGCCACAAAACAUCAUAAGGGAUAUCAUGCUCAUCAAACUUUGAAUCAACAUUAUAAACAUCUUCCUCGUCUCUAUAAUUCCAUCUACAUUGAUGGUAUGCAGUUGCGAAUAACUGUGGCAUAGAUGGCCUUCCCGUUACACUAGUAUACUGUCUAACCACAUCUUUUGGCCCAGGACCAAUGAAAAAGAAAAUAUCCACCACACCAGACUCACUCAUCCACAAAGUAUCAAUCCUGUGCUUGUCCGAGGGAAACAUUAUCUUUGAAGACUCAUUUGAAUUCCAGCCGGAUCCCAAUACAUCAAUCUGCAUUUCUGCAGCAUUCAACCAGAAAAAACCCGAACUACCCCUGGCUUUACCAUGUGAAAUCAUGAAAGGAAUUGAACCAUAAAGCCCAAAAGGCGACUCGUGAAGAUACUCAAACACAUCAAGAUUAAAUAACCUAUAAGGCUCAGAAUAUUCCUCUACAUUAGGCCCCUUAGUUGGUUUCAAAGCAAAACUAGUAGCACGUUCAGGAAUGCCAUAAACAAAAUCUGCACCAUAAAAAGAUACAUCAAAACUAAUUGAUUGUGGACCAUAAGGCCUUGUAUCAGUAUGACUCCUAAACUUCUCCUCCCAAUCAUCCCCUUCUUUCUUCUCCCUCAACUGUUCAAAAGCAAACAACCCAUUUGAGUUUAUGGACAACACUCUCUUCCCACUUCCACUCUCUCUGGCAAAAACCUCAAAUGGGUCAUGUCUCAACACCCCUUCAUACCCAUCAGACAAGUAAAAAACAGACGAAGAACUCGAACCUCCGUCGAUUUGCUCCUCCUUUACUCUGGUUAACCACAGCUUAGUGUUGAGGAAAUCUUCCUCAAUCACCUCAGGAACUUCAAAUCUUUUCUUGGGUGGAUUCAAAUUUUGAUCUUCAUCAAUUUUCACCCUCAUCACACCAUCUUGGUAGACGGAAAGAGUGAGAACUAAAGGCUUAUUGGGUUGUUCACUUUCUGGGUUUUCUUCUUUGGGGACAAGUUUGGCUAUAAGAUCUCCAUCGGAGAUGGACACAUCGACAACCCGCAGAUUGCACGAUCCAGGUUUUCGGGAACGGGCUCUUUUGCAAAAUGGGGUUUGGUCACAGUUUCGAAACUCCUCCUUCUUCCAGGAGUAGGCAGAGGUAGCUAAUAGAAGGAGGAGAAGGAGUGGAUAUAACAGUAGUGGAGCUCUCAUGGUUAUAAUCGAAGAUCAAUGUGGAAAGAUAUCAUAGAAGAUCGAAAUUCG
rnacentral:misc_RNA from 1 species